GAAGUGUCUUUUCUGGAGAACAGCAUUCUGGGUAUGAAGAUGCUGAUGAGCUUCUUUCAGGUUGGAGGACUUAAAUAUAUUAAUGUCACCUGCUACUAAACCCUAUGUACUGCAUAUUGUGUGAUGCAUAUAUAAUUAAAAAAUUAGUUACCUUAUUUACACCAUUCAACACAUAAUUUAGUUAUGGUUUUUAUUUAUUUAUUUAUUCAUUCAUUCACUUCUAUAUUUUUUAUUAAAGCAGAAAGAACCAAACCUGAAUACCAUAAUGAUUUCUCCAGCAUUGAAGCCCCAACAGAAAAGCAACAAAUCACAUCAGAGAACUAUGAUGAUGUCAUCACUGCUGGACUGAGACAUGCUACAGAUGACUUGCCCGAAAACUAUGAUGAUGUCAUCAUCAUACGACAGUUCUCCAAUGAUAACAAAGAGGGUGUUCAGGAGGAGUAUGAUGAUGUGAAGAAUGUCAGCGAAUAUAUGAGUGACAUGUUUGACUAUGAUGAUGUGGAGGAGGAUCCAGGAAAACAGACAGGAGCUGUUUAACUCAAACCUCACACACUGCCUCAAAUCCUUUUAAAGCUUUUAAGAUUUUAGCAAUCUUACUAUAUGUGUUUCAGUUGCAGUCUAAACAGUGUUUUGAUACAUCCUGUACUGAAAUAUACAAUUACAAUUUUCGACAGAAAAAAAUGCUUUGCUUUCAUGACUUUUUAAAAAGGUGCUUGACUUUUUCCAAACACUUUUACAAAUCUUUUCUAUUGUGUAGCCUUAGAAAUUUGAGAGAACAAAAACCUGUCAUUUUCUGACAUUCAGUAACUUUGUAUAAACAUAAUUGUGUUGAGAAUGUGUUCAUCAUUCAGCUACCACCCAUCAUUAAUGGAUUACAAUAUCUUCAACUUAAUAAUAUCAUAAUAUGAAAUAUCACAAUAUCAUUCACUGAUGGUUCACUGUUAAUAUUUUGUUAAAGGACAUUAGAAUGUUACGGGGACCGAGAGCUUAAUGUGCUGCAACUUCAGAAAACACAUGCAAAUAGAAAAAGCACCAGCAAAUAAAGAAAACAUCUUCAUCAGUCUGAGAUCACAUGUGCUGAAAAUACUCACAACACAACCAAAUAAAGAAACAGACCACAAGAAAAUUACUUUAACUAAACGAAAAUGUACUUUUUCUUUUUUAAACAUUUUUU
rnacentral:lncRNA from 1 species